rnacentral:lncRNA from 1 species
GAAAAAUGAGAUCUAUGUGAUGUUUGGUGAUGAUUGAUGUGUGUUGUGAAAGGCUAUGCCUUGAGAUGUGAAAGUUGGAUGAGUUUAGUUUACCCAAAAUUUGGGAAUUUGUGAGUUGAUGUAUUAAGUGAUGAAUUGAUGAUGAAAAUGAGUCUAUGAGAUGUCUAUGAUGAUGAUUGAUGGAGUAGAUUGAGUAUAUGAUGUUAAUUGAUGAAUUUGAUGUGAGUUAGUUUAAUAAAAUUAGGGAUAUGUGUAUCUAUGCCCUAAAUUGAAAAUUGAUGGU